CAAAGAAAAAGUGUGAUUUUUCAAGGAAUCAAGUGUUUAAAGGUGGUGAGCUAUCUGAUACGGGUAAAAGACUACACCCGAGGACCGAGAAUAGGAGUAUAUCUACUCCUAGUACAGCUCAGAAUAGGCAGUAGACUGUCAAUUGCAUCGAGAAGUA
rnacentral:sRNA from 1 species